rnacentral:misc_RNA from 1 species
UACGGAGACCUCGAGCGUUACUCGGAUUUACUGGGCGUAAAGGGUUCGUAGGUGGCCAGGUGUGUCGGGUGUGAAAUCCUGCAGCUUAACUGCAGAACUGCGCCCGAAACUACCUGGCUAGAGACUCGGAGGGGUAAGCGGAAUUUCUGGUGUAGCGGUAAAAUGCGUAGAUAUCAGAAGGAACACCAACGGCGAAGGCAGCUUACUGGACGAGAUCUGACACUGAGGAACGAAAGUGUGGGGAGCGAAAGGG